UCUUCACCAAAUAGAAAAAAGCAAUGAGAAAGAAGUUUUAGAGAGAGCGUUCUAAUUGCGUAGUAGACUCAUUCUCUCUCUCUCUCUCUCUCGUUAAUGACUAUUGAAUAGUGAAGAAUUCAGAACAGAAUUAGGGGUUUUGAUGACCCAAACAACUAAACAACGACAGCAAUGGUAAAAUCCUCCCUCUUCACCAUCAUGUAAGAAUCGGUUACGAAUUAGCAGGAUAUGGCACAAGUGAGGAUCGGAGGACGACGUUGUUGGUUUUCCAAUGGCGAUUCGUCUGAUUUGAUCGACUAAGUCAAGAUCGGGGAGAGAUGCUUUGAAGAAUGAAUGAUGUUUCAUAACAAAAUCUUGGGCGGCGUGCUUACCGUGUGACAGAAUGAAGUCUUCCUUGUCCACUUUGAAUGAUUAUUCCAUUCCCCAUCCUUAAGUGAGUCAUAAGAAAUCUUUCAACCGAUGUAAAAGUCCUCUUUCUGCUCUUCAAUGAAGCCAGCCUAUUGGCAGUUAUCCUAGGAUUGUGGACAGGACUAUCAUCAACACUUAUUCAGUCUUUGGGGCUUUCGUUAGGGUUUGUUUAUGGUUUUCAUAUAGAUCGGGCCGGGAGAUGAUUUGAAGAAUGAAGAAGAAUCAUACCGCUCAAAUGUUUUGUUUUGUUUCAAUCAUCAACACAAUCACUCAUAGGUAUAUUGUUUGAACUUGAGAAAACGAUGGUCAAAAUCCUCUUCUUGAUGAUCUAUUUUGGGAGCUCCAGCUUUGCCUACCUGCACCACAAAACAAGUACACCACAUCUGCUACAAUUUCAUGAAUUUCAUCUUCAAACAAUGGCAAGGGCUAACCAGCAUACAGAGACGACAUCUUCAGUGUAUAAGCAGAUUCUAGUGAUUGAUGGUGGGAGAGAGGCAGCAGAGUCGUCAAGUUACCACGUCGAUCAUAAUCUCCACACAACUCAUCACCGAAUAGAUCAAGCUCAAUCAUGGACGCUAGAUAGACUCAAUAUAAUACAGGGAAAAACGAGUGAUAAAAACAUAGCUAUUGUGUGAGUUAGAGACCAUCUCUGCAACUUCAACGAAGAAGAAGAGAAACCGGUCAAGGAUAUUAGAACCAAUUAGCUACAACUCUUUCUUCCCAACGCCAGCCUUUGGAAAGAACAAGUCACUCCUACUGAUGUCUCGCAACAAUUUCCAAGAUGCAGCUGAGGUCAACAACAAGACUGCAGAUGCCAGGGGAUGCGACGUCUGAGCAGAUAGAAAACACGGAGAAUGUUUCUUUCCCAAACCACCACUGCAUUUUUCUCAAGGAGAGAUAAGUCGAUUGACCUUAAGGAAGAAGCAGAGCAAACUGCUAGAAGAAACAUAGCUAGUCUGCCAAUGCGUUCUGUUAUUUGAUGCACAACAUAUCUGCAAGCAUUUAAGGAAUUACAUUUUCAAAAAUAAUGGCAAGGGUAACCAGCAGCAUGCAGAGACAUCUUCAAUAGCUUCAACGGAAGUGUUUAAAGCAGUACAAUGAUUCGGGAGCCUCACCUUACUGAACCAAAGAGCCCUAUGCUCCAAAUAAGGGUUAUAAGCAGCAAAAACUAUUGCUGCCACACCAAAAUAUUUUUAUUCACUGAAUUGUUAAUAUUGUUGUGACCUUCAGUUCGACUCUUCACGGAGUUUUUCUUGAUACCAUUGCUGGUUUUGAUUGCAGGUGGAAAAUACAACAAAUGCAGAUGAGCAUGUUGUCUUAACCGCUUUCAAAUUUUUGAUCCAUAAUUGAGACUGAGAAUUUUAUGGUUUCCUUGUUGUUGCUUCACUUGCUUGUGUAGAUGGAGAUAUAUUUCUCACUUUCUUCUCAUAAUUAUGGAUGACCUAACAACAACGGACAUCAACAAUGGUCAUAUCUUCUCUAUACAUGUAUAUUUUGCUUGCUGGGUUCUGAAGUUCUUAGUGUCGAGAGAUCAGCUCUCAUCUUGAUAGGAGGUAGUAGAUGUUAUCUUCGGGUUGGCCGAGGGCACCCUUGGUAAAUCUCUUUCGCAGGAGCUUCUGGAGAAAAGUUUUUUGCUUUCUUAAGUCUAGUGUAUCUCCUAGGAUUUUAGCCUUUGGUCUUUGUCUUUGGUGUAAGGGUUUGUCCUCCUUCGUUAUGGGUUUGAAAUUUUCUGUGUUGUAUUGGUGCUUUUAGUUUCCCUUCCAUAGGGUUUAAGACUCCAGGGACAUAUCUGUCGUCCGCUGGCUUUAGCUUCUCUUGUUUGGGCGUUUGUAUUCCUCCUGGGUUCCAAAACAAAUUCAAUAAUAUAAUUCAGAUGACAAAAAAAAAUAUUAUGUAAGAAACAAGUUUGACUUUCUAGUUGAGGAAUCCGAACAGUGGUUAAGGCAAAGUU